UUUUAUUUUUUUUUGUCCUUCCACAUUUGGAGAGUUUGUUUGCUUGUGUCGGAUAGGAUGUGCUGUCAAGAGUCCAGUUCAGGUCUGACAUAACUCCAUUGACUUACUGUAAUUUCCACAGUCACAAAUGACUCAUAAUGCUCAAUAUUCAAAACAGCCUCCAAAAGCAUGCUGCCCCCCCCACCCCCCCUUGCAAAGCUGGUAUUGCAAGAAUAAUGUAUACUAGCAGAAUUCGAAAAGUUAAUGCAGAACUGAAACACUUUUAUGUCAUUAAAUACUUACUGAAAAGUUAGCACAUUUAUUUGCCUAAUUGAGAGGUCCUGAAAUGACCUACCAGACAGAGUGUAGAAUUUAAUUCCUUUCGGUGAGGAGACAUACUGAAGUUGGUAAGAUUUUGGUUCCUUCCCUUGUUGUUUGAAAAAAGCUUUGCAGGGUCUGGUCAGUUUAGAUUAGCUGCCAUCUUUAGCUAUUUUGGAUUGGUGGGUUUUUUAUAUUAAAAAUAUCACUGUAUUAAGAAAUGUAUUUCAGUAAAUGGUGUGACAGCCUGGAGAAGACAUGGCAUCAGGGGAACCUAACAGCAACCUUUCAACACCUACAGGAUAGUUACUGAGAAGCUGAAGCUGAGGACUCUCUCCUUGUUUCACUGAAGAAGCAGCAUCAGCAUCUGUACUGGUUGUAAAAGCGGCAUUUGUAGUAGUUGUCAAGAAAGCCUGCAAGAGAGAUGGAAGAGAAGAAGAGGUCUUCAGAGAGGAGACAAUUGAUCUGGAAUGGGAACGAGGGAAGACAGCCAUGUGGCCACUUUCCAAACAUGCUUUCAGAAGCUUGGAAAACCUUGGUGUCCAUAUCUGAAAAACAUCAUUCCACACCCUCCGAUAAGCUAUAUGCAACCCCCAGUCCUGGAAGCUAAUCUGUGGGAAUGAACUCUGGUGUCCCUGUGGAGCCUCAAGGUCAGAGCCUUAGGAAAAGAGUAACAACGGAAGUGCCUCCAGGAUAUGGACAGCAUUUUGCCAAGAGUAGCAAAAGAAACUAUAAUGUUUAAACCAAAAAUGAAAUUUGAAUAGCAGGCACUUUUAUUGAACAAUUGUACAGAUUUCAAAACCAAGUAAUCUCUGCAUUUACCCUCCCCUUUUUCUGUUUUCCUUUGAAGUUUAUUUUCUGUUUAAACAAACUUGCUUACUUCCCAGAAAUUCUUUCCUCUUUUCUAUAAGUAGAUUCAUGAAGCAGAAAUUAUGUCUUCAUGUUACACAAACUCUACACCCUUUGAGUUUUAUUGCACUGCCAGUAGUUUGGUCUCACUGAGAUGUUCGGUUACAGGAAGAUAUGGGGCUCUGGUUCUGAUUGAUGGCAAUUUAUUACCUGUUUUAUUGUUGCCUUUCACUCUGUAAUUUUAAAGGUAAGAUGAAAUGAUUUCCUAAGGAAGGUCUGUGCUUGGACUUGUGUUCCCAGUCCUUUGGGAUGCCCAGCAUCCUCAAAGUCUUGUAUACCCAAGCGAGCAUCGAGUACAUCUAACAUAAGAUUGUGUUUGAGGCAAGGGCUGAAUGUCUUGCGAAAAUAAAGAAAACUUCACCUUAAGUUCUUCCAGGCCUGUCAAAGAAUGGUUAAUGUUUUAACUCAGAAGAUACUUCCCAGCAUUUGCUGUGUGGGUAAUGUCAAGCUAUGCAGUUC